AGGCCAGGCUGAAGACUUUGCCGGAUUAGCUGAGAGGUGGUGCAUGGCCGUCGUCAGUUCGUACUGUGAAGCAUCCUGUUAAGUCAGGCAACGAGCGAGACCCACGCCAACAGUUGCUAGCUCGUCCUCCGGGAUGGAGAGGACACUGUUGGGACCGCCUCUGGCUAAAGAGAGGAAGGAAUGGGCAACGGUAGGUCAGCAUGCCCCGAAUUAUCUGGGCUACACGCGGGCUACAAUGGGUGGGACAAUGGGUAUCGACACCGAAAGGUGAAGGCAAUCUCCUAAACCCAUCCUUAGUUCGGAUUGUGGGCUGCAACUCGCCCACAUGAAGCUGGAAUCUGUAGUAAUCGUGUUUCAAAAUAGCACGGUGAAUAUGUCCCUGCUCCUU
rnacentral:rRNA from 1 species